AGUGAACGCUGGCGGUAGGCCUAACACAUGCAAGUCGAACGGCAGCACAGUAAGAGCUUGCUCUUACGGGUGGCGAGUGGCGGACGAGUGAGGAAUACAUCGGAAUCUACUUUUUCGUGGGGGAUAACGUAGGGAAACUUACGCUAAUACCGCAUACGACCUACGGGUGAAAGCAGGGGAUCUUCGGACCUUGCGCGAUUGAAUGAGCCGAUGUCGGAUUAGCUAGUUGGCGGGGUAAAGGCCCACCAAGGCGACGAUCCGUAGCUGGUCUGAGAGGAUGAUCAGCCACACUGGAACUAAGACACGGUCCAGACUCCUACGGGAGGCAGCAGUGGGGAAUAUUGGACAAUGGGCGCAAGCCUGAUCCAGCCAUACCGCGUGGGUGAAGAAGGCCUUCGGGUUGUAAAGCCCUUUUGUUGGGAAAGAAAAGCAGCAGGUUAAUACCCCGCUGUUCUGACGGUACCCAAAGAAUAAGCACCGGCUAACUUCGUG
rnacentral:rRNA from 1 species